rnacentral:rRNA from 1 species
AUUGAACGCUGGCGGCAUGCCUUACACAUGCAAGUCGAACGGUAACAGGUCUUCGGAUGCUGACGAGUGGCGAACGGGUGAGUAAUACAUCGGAACGUGCCCGAUCGUGGGGGAUAACGCAGCGAAAGCUGUGCUAAUACCGCAUAAGAUCUAUGGAUGAAAGCGGGGGAUCUUCGGACCUCGCGCGAACGGAGCGGCCGAUGGCAGAUUAGGUAGUUGGUGGGGUAAAGGCUCACCAAGCCUGCGAUCUGUAGCUGGUCUGAGAGGACGACCAGCCACACUGGAACUGAGACACGGUCCAGACUCCUACGGGAGGCAGCAGUGGGGAAUUUUGGACAAUGGGCGAAAGCCUGAUCCAGCAAUGCCGCGUGCAGGAAGAAGGCCUUCGGGUUGUAAACUGCUUUUGUACGGAGCGAAAAGGUCCUUUCUAAUACAAGGGGCUCAUGACGGUACCGUAAGAAUAAGCACCGGCUAACUACGUGCCAGCCGCCGCCGUAACAC